UACGGAGGGUGCAAGCGUUAAUCGGAAUUACUGGGCGUAAAGCGAGUGUAGGCGGCUUCGUAAGUCGGAUGUGAAAGCCCUGGGCUUAACCUGGGAAUUGCAUUCGAUACUGCGCGGCUAGAGUCGGAUAGAGGGAAGUGGAAUUCCAGGUGUAGCGGUGAAAUGCGUAGAUAUCUGGAGGAACAUCAGUGGCGAAGGCGGCUUCCUGGAUCAAGACUGACGCUGAGGCUCGAAAGCGUGGGGAGCAAACAGG
rnacentral:rRNA from 1 species